UUUUGGCUAAGAUCAAGUGUAGUAUCUGUUCUUAUCAGUUUAAUAUCUGAUAUGUGGGCCAUCGGCUCACAUGAUAUUAACUCUAUUUUUUAAGGGAGAGAGCCCGUUAAGAUAGCUUGCUAUCUGGGCUUUCACGAGUCGCCCAUGCGUUGCACGACUGCGCGGGCCUGGCUCAUCCCACCAAUUAUUCAGUCAAUUUUGCAGUAUAUAGAAGUUAGCAGAGAAAAGAGCUUUAUCUUAGGGUUUUACUUGCCGUUCUCAUUGCUCUUUCACCAUAAAACCCGAAGUUUUUGCUAGCUUAUUUACUAUUGUGUUGGCUUGCUCUUGGAAUAUAGAAGGUCAGCCUAAGUGGACAACAUAAGUCUGCAACUUUUCUUUUAUUGAUGUACAAUGUGUUCCCUAGCCGCUUCAAUCUAUACAGGGGAACUGCAGAAGAUAUAUAUAGGUUCAUCAAGGCCGAAAGUCUCAAACUCCAUUUCAUUGAAUAAAGAUUGUACAAUAAGCCCAUUGCAAGUGCAUGUGCAUUUGCAUGUUAUCGGACGAGAUUUUAUUGAUCUUUGAUCAUAUAAGGAACUCUUAGGUGGGGUGUGGUGAUCAAUGCAAUUCAAAUGGAUUAGCAUGAUAUUGAUAAGACAUGAAUGAAGACAUACAUAUGAAUCACCAAGAUAGUAUCGUUCUUUUUUUUUUUUUUAGUUCGAGACUUGGAGUCUUGUGUAAAAUGGCUGCCUGCACUGCGUUGCUAUUAAACUGGUUUAUAUACAGUUGAGAAAGAAACUGAUGGGGAUUAUAACGUAUACUGGGUUUUGAUUUGGUAUCGGAGAGUAGGGGAGGCUCUAGAACUCAUUCACAGGGCUACUUUUUUUGGUUUGGUUAUUUCGUUUGUUCUUGAUUUCUAUCUGUAUUCAUCAGAUUUAACGAGAGUUAUAAGGGGAAAUCAAUUCUGAAAUUACCAAACCCUGCUUGUUAUACAUGUUUAAAAGCUGUAUGUUUCUUUAUGAUUUGUUCUUUUAGGCAGCUAAUUCAAAGGGCAGAGUAUAUCUAGAAAUUUGUUACCUGCUUUUUUAUCCUAUCUUGAAGUACUGUAAGAAUCUUACCGUAAGAUGAGAGAUUUAUGUGUUUCUUUCUUUGUUUAGCUGCUCAGUUCACAGACUUCCACUGUGCCGGCCUGCCGGGCACUUUUGCUGUAUAACUGCAGUUAUAGUGCUCAGUAAGAAUUUAGGUACAGAGACGCGGUCAAUAUGACAUCAAAAACAUGUUUUAGUAAAUUUUUCCAUAAUACAGUAGAAACAAGGUGUUUAAAAGAGUUAAAGCUCUGUCGGUUAGUUGAACAUUCUGGAUGCAGCUUGACCAAUUGGUUGUCUUUAAUAAAAGGCGGUUUGUUCAUAGAUGCGUAUAAAGAAUCUAAUUUUCUAAAAGUCCCACAUCGACAAGUUAGAGAUAUUUGGUCAUAACCUUGGUAGUAUAAAUAAGAAGCCGAGCACGACAUACAAAUCAUACCUUUCUCGGCCUUUUGGCUAAGAUCAAGUGUAGUAUCUGUUCUUAUCAGUUUAAUAUCUGAUAUCCUCGUCAUCGACUUGCACGAUAUUAACUCUAUUUUUUAAGGGUGAAAGCUCGUCAGGAUAGCUUGCUAUCUAAGCUUUCGGGAGUAGCCCAUGCGUUGCACUACUGCACGGGCCUGGCUCAACCCGCCAAUCUAAUAGUUUAACAGUUGUCUCAUCUUUUUAUAGAAGAUGUAUAUGAAGUCGUAUAGUUAAACUAAAUCUUGUCGAAGUUACAUAUGAAGUCGUAAGUGUUUGAUCAGAUGAAUAUGCUCUUAAUUGUACUUAGACAAAAUCUGAGCACAAAUCGUUGGAAACAGCCUAUUCUCUGCAAAUGAGAUAGAAACACAACAUUGGAGAAGGAAGGAAGGAAGAAAGAACAAAACCUAAAUCUUGGAACUUCUCUAACAACAUAUAAACUUCCCACCAAAAUUCAAAAGCAAACAUAAUAGCAGCUCAGAUUGUAUUAGGAAAAUGCCUAAUUCAAGCAUCAUUUUAGUGAGUUCAAUGGAAGCAGCAUUAGUUCCCUGAGCAAGAAAGCUUCCCCAAUAUUGCUUUUCUUGGUUUUUAAGUUUCCACCUUUCCUCUGUGAUCAAUGGCAAAUAACGCACAGAGAGAAUAAAGAUAUGUAGAAAGAGUAGUAUUGUUUUGUUUUCAUAUGUGUAUUUGACUUUUUAAAAAAACUAUAUUCACCCGCGGUGUACCGCAGGGCUA